rnacentral:lncRNA from 1 species
GACAGUCUGUUUCCAGUUUCCACAAGUGCACAUGCAUAAUCUUUGUCUUUAAGCCAACUGAGAGCUUCCCUUUAUACCCAUUAAUUCAGCCAUUUCUGGGUUCACUGUUCCCUGUCUAUAGCUUGCUUUUGCUUCUACUAGAUCACCUGCAUGGUCUCUCACUAUCAUGGAAUAGCCGUAUGUGUUAGAAUCUUCGAAUAAGGCUCCAUCAGUAUUUAUCUUAAUCAUACCUUCUUGUGGUCGCACCCAUUGCGCUUUACCAUUUGCCUGGGUCAUAAACCCAAGAUAAUUGUCAAUGAUUUAUCUUGGGCAUUUCUCCACUGAUUAAAAACGAAUUCUGCUGAUUGCACCAGUUCAAAAGGUUCUACACUUCUUUGAUUCCAUAUAAUGUCGUUUCUAUUCUGCCACAGUUUCCAGGAGAUCAUACAGAUUUAAGCUACUCCUAUAUCUCUGAAGUAUAAAGUCAUCCACUGCUUAAAAUCUCUCUGAGCUUCCCCACUGUUGGAUAAGUAAACUAACUCUUGGACUUAGAGGAAGAAUCUGGAACUCUGUUAUAUUCAGUGAAUUUAGGAAUAUGUGAGAACACAAUAAUUAUGAUUCAUAGAACUUGGAAGAUGUAUCUAUUUUGAUUCAUGUAUGAUGUUUUAUAUUCUCCUAUUAUAUAAAGGAGGAGAUUGUAUUGUUUUGAAUAAGAUUAAGAAUACAAAGAAUAUUUAGAAACACAGAUCCCUUCCUUGAUUCACUAUUCUAUUCUGCACCUAGUAUACUGAAAUUAUACUGAAAAACAAUCUACUGAAAGCACGGAAACAAGAUCAACAAGCUUUAUCAAUUAUACACAUGGGCUUAGAUGAAGCCAUGUUUGAAAAUAUUGCAUCUGCAACAAAAGCGAAGGAGGCCUGGGAGAUUCUGCAGAACAAUUUUAAAGGUGUUGACAAAGUAAGGUACGAUUACAAACCCUACGUGGUGAAUUUGAAGCAUUACACAUGAAAGAUACGGAAUCAGUCCCCGAUUACUUCACGAGAGUUUCCUCUGUUGUAAAUCAAAUGAAGAAUACAAAAUGAAAACUGAUCAAAUGAAAAGAUACUGAGAUCUUUGAAUACAAAAUUGCAACUUGUUGGAAUCUCUAUUGAAGAAUUAAAUGCUACGGAAACCAUGACAACUGAUCAACUAAUGGGAUUUUUGCAAGCAUAUUUAGAAAGAUUGUUAAAGAAGGAAGAGACAGAAUCUCAAGUGCUGAAAUCUAGUGUUUCUAUGGAAGAGAAGGAUAAGGUGUUAUACACACGAUACACUAGAGGAAGAGGACGUGGCCGUACAAAUCAGAAUUUCACUCGAGGCAGAGGACGUGGUCCUGGAAGCAACAGAUAUGAAGAAAAGGUGCAAACAAAUCAACAAAAUUGGCGCGGACAAGGACGUGGUCGCAGCAGAGGUGGAAGAUCAACCCAUGGCAGAGGUAGCAGAUCAAAUGAAUGUUACAAUUAUGGCAAAUUCGGACACUUUGCCAAAGACUGCUGGUUUAACAAGAAGGUAGAGGAGAAUGCAAAUUUGGUCGAAACGGAGGAGCAACAAAAUAAUGGUGUUUGCUAAUGGCCUACAAAGAUACUAUUCCAUAAGAGGAGGUUCUUGGUAUCUUGACAGUGGUGCCAUCAACCAAAUGUCAGGGCUUAAACAUCUAUUUACUGAUUUAAAAGAAGUAGAUUCUGGUUUUGUGUCUUUUGGAGAUGCCUCAAAGAUUGAAGUCAAAGGAAAGGGUGAAGUAUGCUUUCCUAGCAAGGAUGGCAGACAAGGAAGAAUUGAAGAUGUUUAUUAUGUUCCAGACAUGAAGAACAAUAUUCUUAGCCUCGGACAACUGGUUGAAAAAAGAUACUCAAUUUUUAUGGAAGAAAAAGCUAUGUUCUUGAAAGACAAAAGUGGCAGAACAAUAACUCGUGUAGGAAUGUCUCAAAAUCAGAUGUUCAAAUUAAACUUGAGAAAUAUACAGGAGACAUGUCUGCAAGUGAAGAUGGAAGACAAAGCAUUUUUAUGGCAUAGGCGAUUGGGACACUUACACUAUGGUGGUUUAAAGGAGCUGGCAAAUAAAGGAAUGGUUCAUGGAAUACCAAGUAUGGAUACAAGAAGUUUUUGUGAAGAAUGUGUGCUAGGAAAACAAACAAGAAAUUCAUUCCAGAAGAAGGCGAUAUAUCGUGCUCCAAAGCCUCUCGAGUUAGUAUAUACAGAUAUUUGUGGUCCUAUCACACCCAUGUCAUACAGUUGUAAAAGGUAUUUCAUUACCUUUAUUGAUGAGUAUUCUCGAAGGACAUGGAUUUAUUUCUUGAAGGAAAAAUCUGAGGCCUUAAAAGUAUUCAAAAAAUUCAAAGUGUUGGUGGAGAAAAAGACUGGAAUGCAUAUCAAGGCAUUGCGUUCAGAUAGAGGAGAAGAAUAUACAUCAAAUGCUUUCACGGAAUACUGUGAAGAACAGGGCAUUAGAAGAUUCUUAACAACUCCAUAUUCACCACAACCGAAUGGUGUGGCUGAGAGAAAAAAUCAGACUAUUCUGGACAUGGUUCGAGCGAUGUUAAAAAGCAAGGAACUACCAAAAGAAUUCUGGGCAGAAGCUGUGCAGUGUGCUGUCUAUAUUCAGAAUCGUUGUCCACAUUCAAACUUGGGAAAUAAAACACCUCAAGAAUUAUGGAGUGGAAGGAAGCCCACUGUAUCACACCUAAAGAUUUUCGGGAGUGUGGCAUAUUCACAUAUACCAGAUCAAAGAAGAACAAAGUUGGAUGACAAGAGCAAGAAGUACAUUUUCAUCGGAUAUGAUGAGAAAACAAAAGCUUACAGGCUUCUAGACCCGGUUACUAUGAAGGUAGAUGUAAGUCGGGAUGUUCAAAUACAAGAAGAUGAUGCAUGGCACUGGAGUAGUAAAGCACCAGAAGCGGAAACACAAGAAGGUGUAUUUCCAAUUUCUAAAAUCUCACCUGCAAAUAUUGAUGCACCAGAAGAUGAUGAAGUAAAUGAGGAUGAGCCCCAGAAUCUUAGAAUACGAAGUUUGCAAGACUUAUAUCAAACAGCAGAUGAGGUGCAUCUGGUGUGUUUGGUGGCAGAUGCAGAGAAUGUUAAUUUUGAAGAAGCAGUGAAAGACAAGAAGUGGAGGGAUGCAAUGGAUGAAGAAAUCAAAGCAAUUGAAAAGAACAAAACUUGGAAGCUAGUGGAACCUCCAGAAGGUUGUAAGCCUAUCGAUGUUAAAUGGGUUUACAAAAAGAAGGUGAAUGCUCAAGGCCAAAUAGAAAGAUAUAAAGUGCGGUAAGUUGCAAAGGGCUACCGACAAUAGGCUGGAAUAGACUAUGAUGAAGUUUUUGCACCCGUGGGCCGAAUGGAGACAAUAAGACUUCUGAUCUCUCAAGCAGCUCAAUGUGGGUGGCCUAUUUACCAGAUGGACGUAAAGUCUGCUUUUUUAAAUGGCAUGCUCGAAGAAGAAAUGUACGUGAGCCAACCUCCUGGAUAUGAAAAGGCUGGAAAAGAAAGCAUGGUGUUAAAAUUGUAUAAGGCAUUAUAUGGUUUAAAACAGGCGCCUCGAGCAUGGAAUACCCGUAUAGACACCUAUUUCAAGAAGAAUGGAUUCAUACAAUGUUCUUAUGAGCCUGCUGUAUAUGUCAAAGAAAAGGAAGGUAAUAUAUUACUUGUUGCACUUUACGUGGAUGAUCUUAUUUUUAUGGGCAACAAUGAGGAGAUGAUUACAAAUUUUAAAAAGGAGAUGACUCAAGAAUUUGAGAUGCCUGACUUGGGCUUGAUGAGAUUCUUUCUUGGCAUUGAGGUGAAGCAAGACAAGUCAGGUAUUUUUAUUUCUCAAGAAGCAUAUGCAAACAAUAUUCUCAAGAAAUUUCGAAUGGAACACUGCAAUCCAGUAGCAACACCAAUGGAACUGGGCACAAAGCUUUCUAAAUUUGAGGGAGGAAAUUCAGUAGAAGCAAAUUUAUAUCAGAGUUUGGUUGGGAGCUUGAGAUAUCUUACAUGCACAAGACCUGACAUCGCAUAUAGUGUUGGGGUAGUAAGCAGAUUCAUGGAAGCUCCAAAACAAUCACAUUGGAAAGCAAUCAAAAGGAUUCUGCGGUAUAUUCAAGGAACAAAAUCACUAGGAUUGUUCUAUUCUAGAACAACAGACUACAAACUGUUGGGAUAUUCUGAUAGUGAUUGGUGUGGAGAUGUGGAUGAUCGUAAAAGCACGUCUGGAUACUUGUUUUUUAUGGGAGACACAUCAUUUACGUGGUAUUCUAAGAAGCAGCCUAUAGUUUCAUUGUCAACUUGUGUGGCGGAAUAUAUAGCAGCUUCUUAUUGUGUUUGUCAUGCUAUAUGGUUAAGAAGGUUACUCAGGGAAUUAAGGAUCCCACAACAAGGAUCUACAGAAAUAAGAAUUGAUAACAAAUCUGCAAUUGAGCUUGCUAAGAAUCCAGUACAUCAUGAAAGGAGCAAACAUAUUGAUGUUAGAUUCCAUUUUAUCCGGGAACAUGUGAAGGAAAAGAAUGUCCAGUUGCGUCAUGUUGUUAGUCAUGACCAGAUAGCAGAUGUGCUCACCAAACCACUGUCCAAACCUAUGCUUGAUACAUACAAAAGGCUGAUGGGAAUGAAGGAUCGGAAAGAGUUAGUUUAAGGGAGGAAUAUGUUGGAUAAGUAAACUAACUCUUGGACUUAGAGGAAGAAUCUGGAACUCUGUUAUAUUCAGUGAAUUUAGGAAUAUGUGAGAACACAAUAAUUAUGAUUCAUAGAACUUGGAAGAUGUAUCUAUUUAGAUUCAUGUAUGAUGUUUUAUAUUCUCCUAUUAUAUAAAGGAGAAGAUUGUAUUGUAUUGAAUAAGAUUAAGAAUACAAAGAAUAUUUAGAAACACAGAAACCCUUCCUUGAUUCACUAUUCUAUUCUGCACCUAGUAUACUGAAAUUAUACCUAAAUUCCAUACACAAACUCAACACCCACUACCACCUUCAACAUUCUUGUGUUCCAAACAUUUGACACCAUACGGACAUGAUACCAGACUGUGAUAAAUUGUUUCUCGGUCUUCAUUGCACACUGGACAUGGGGUUGACUACUACUUUUCUAAUUUGCAAUUGUUCCUUCGUUGGUAAACAAUUCCUUACUGCUCUCCAGAUAAAGAUUUUCGUUUUCUGAGGGAUUUUGAGGUUCCAUAAAACUCGCCAGAGAAGCCCGAAUGAUCACUUAGAUCAUGCUCUUCUCUAUCAUCUUGCAAUGCUUUUGCAUGCACUUCUGACUAAGUCAUGGAUUAACAGAAUUUAUGAGUAUGAAAUAAUAUGACGAGAGGAACAAACCAAAAAUAUUAAAAGCAUAGAAAUAAAAAUUAAAAGAAUAUCGGGAGAUUUGUUGGUCCAUAAUGGUAAAAGCAUAGAAAUAGAAAUUAAAAGAAUAUCAAUGGCCUCAGCCCUGAUGCCAUUUUAAGAAAUGAUUCUACGAGCAUUCCACUUCAUAAUGAAAACGAAGAAAUCCUUGACUACAACAACUUAGCGGGUGCUAGGUGUAGUGGUUGUUUGUUCAUCCUUGUCGUUGUUCCUCCAAUAAAUACCUUUUACUUAUUUUUUUUUUUCAAUCUAUAUAUGUUAAAAAAUAAAAUUUUAAAAAUUAAACAUGAAAGUGUUAAAAGGUGAGAAGAAGAGAAAAAUUAAAAAAUACGAUAGAGUAAAGAGUAGUAGUCAGCAUUAUUAAAUCAUAUGAGCUGGUAACCACUCCAAAGAUGUAUUAAAUAGACCUUAACUUGUGCCCUCACAGGAUAGACCGCCCGUAUAAUUAAUCAUUUACCUUGAAGAUGCUCCUCGAAGUUUUAUAGCAUCUUCAUCCAAAUCUUCAAAAUCUAUUAAAUUUUGGCUCCUGAUAACAUAUAAGAAUACGCAAACAUGGCCUAUAAUUAGGGCUGAAUGAACAUAUAAAGCUAUACAAUAACUACAAAAAUAUGUACAAAUACAUACAGGGACAAUUCAAGUUUAGUGAUGAUAACAGGGGCAUUACUCGUGAAGGCAGUCAGGACCUAGAGAAAAAACUGUGGGUCGCUUUGGUGUUGUUUCAACGCAUAAACCCUAUUUAGAGUGUCAUCCACAACACCCUGUAUGUGGGAAAAAGUAAGAUUCGGCAAUUACUAAUGAAACAAUAAGCAAACACAAUCACAAGUACACAUGAAUUAAGUUAUAGGCUAAGUAAAUAAAAUGGAUCAAAUUUAAUGAUUACACGAACAAAAGAAAAAUAUUAAAAUCAACGAAAAAAAGAAUAAUAUUAAAAUCACAUAAACUAAAAAAGUUACAGAGAAAGAGCUGUAUUUCUUGUGCUGUUACCAUAUGUCGAGCAAGGUCGAUUUGAGCCAGGAUUGCGUUGGGAGAAGAAGACGAAGCCAUUGAUAAACCUAUAGAUUUGAAGUUGUGAAACAAACAGUAAACAAAAUCGUACAUUAAUCAUAAACAAGAUCGAAAGAUGCUUGAAAACUGACCUCAAAUCUUAAUGGCUAGAAAAUGCCCAAACAAAUGUAUUAAAAUUUUAGUAAAUACUAAUACAGUUCACUUUUGCUAUAAGCAGUUUGAUGACAUUAUAGUCAAGACGCGAAUGAGCUCAGUACUUUUUUUGAAUGUAACUGCUUUUGUCUGUAUUCCUUCGUUACUUUUAACUAUUAGAUUUAAUAAAUAUUUUUUUUGUUAAUAUUUCUUUAGACUCUCUUCAUUUUUAUAAAAAAAAAUUUAUCAUGUACCUAAACAAAAAAUUUGUAAAAUAUGUGUUACAAUAUUUGAAAUAUAUUUCAAAAAACCAAUAAGAGAGUGAGAAUAAAAUUAAAAUUAGAUUUAUUCUUGAGUUAGAUGUUAGAAUAAUAUGGUAUAAAUAUUUCUUUUAGUGCUGAGAUCGAUUAAAGAAACGAAGCAUCAAAUUAAAAACAAAAAUAUAAAUAAUAUUAUCCUAAGCAAUUUGAACAAAUUAUAUUUAAUAUAUGUGUGACUUUAAGUACUUGCUGGGUCACAGCUGUAUUGCAUCUAAUAUUGAUGUCUUGUUUAUUUAUCGUCUCAAUGACAUUAAUAGGGUGGUUUGGAUGAUUGCAUAAUGUAAGUGCUUUGUUUUGAACUUAACAAUUUGAUUUUUUUUUAAUUAGUUUCACUUUGACUUGUUUAUUUUUACUUUUAUUUAAACAAUAUAACUAUCAUUCUUAGUUAUUUUUUUUAAAAAUCAUGUUAUGUAAAUUUAUUUAAUAUUGUAAAAUUAUAAAAUUAUAAUUCUUUAUCUUAAUUCUGAAAUAAUUGUUAUUUUAUUAAUAUGUUCAUAAUGUAAAUAAUAAAAAUUAUAAUAAAAACUAGUAUUAAAACUUCAAAUCAUCCAACAUUACAUAAUAAAAGAUGGGAGCCGUAUCACCACCUACGUUCAGCUAAGAGUUUCUAACGCUUCACAAAAUUUAAAGUAACAUUACAAUGUUUUAAUGAAAGUAAUAAAGAUUUGCAUUCACUGGUCACUCUUCCUAGGUAUGAAAGAGUUGCUGUUGAGCUCCUGAUUGCCUGAACCAUGGCCAGACAGUCUGUUUCCAGUUUCCACAAUUGCACCUGCAUAAUCUCUGUCUUUAAGCCAACUGAGAGCAUCCCUUAUACCAUUAAUUCAGGCAUUUCCAGGUUCACUGUUCCCUGUCAACAACUUGCUUUUGCUUCUACUGGAUCACCUGCAUGGUUUCUCACUAUCAUGGAAUAGCUGUAUGUGUUAGAAUCUUUGAAUAAGGCUCCAUCAGUAUUUAUCAUAAUCAUACCUUCCGGUGGUCGCUCCCAUUGCGCUUUACCAUCUGCCUGGGUCAUAAACCCAAGAUAAUUGUCAAAUGAUUUAUCUUGGGCAUUUCUCCACUGAUUAAAAACGAGUUCUGCUGAUUGCACCAGUUCAAAAGGUUCUACACUUCUUUGAUUCCAUAUAAUGUCGUUUCUAUUC